rnacentral:rRNA from 1 species
AUUGAACGCUGGCGGCAGGCCUAACACAUGCAAGUCGAGCGGAGCGGCGGACGGGUGAGUAAUGCCUAGGAAUCUGCCUGGUAGUGGGGGAUAACGUCCGGCAACGGGCGCUAAUACCGCAUACUAUCAGAUGAGCCUAGGUCGGAUUAGCUAGUUGGUGGGGUAAAGGCCUACCAAGGCGACGAUCCGUAACUGGUCUGAGAGGAUGAUCAGUCACACUGGAACCUGGACAAGGUCCAGAAUCCUGCGGGAGGAAGCCGUGGGGAAAAUUGGACAAUGGGCGGAAGCCUGAUCCAGCCAUGGCGGGUGUGUGAAGGAGGUCUUCGGAUUGUAAAGCACUUUAAGUUGGGAGGCGUUACCAACAGAAUAAGCACCGGCUAACUUCGUGCCAGCAGCCGCGGUAAUUC